GAUGAACGCUGGCGGCGUGCCUAAUACAUGCAAGUCGAGCGAACAGACGAGGAGCGUGCUCCUCUGACGUUAGCGGCGGACGGGUGAGUAACACGUGGUUAACCUACCUAUGAGACUGGGAUGACUUCGUGAAACCGGUGCUAGUACCGGAUAAUAGAUUCAACCGCAUGGUUCAAUAGUUAAAGAGGGUUUUGCUGUCACUUAUAGAUGGAUCCGCGCCGCAUUAGCUAGUUGGUAAGGUAACGGCCUACCAAGGCAACGAUGCGUAGACGACCUGAGAGGGUGGUCGGCCACACUGGAACUGAGACACGGUCCAGACUCCUACGGGAGGCAGCAGUAGGGAAUCUUCGGCAAUGGGCGAAAGCAUGACGGAGCAACGCCGCGUGAGUGAUGACGGUCUCCGGAUCGUAAAAAUCUGUUACUAGGGAAGAACACAUGUGUAAGUAACUAUGCACGUAUUGACGGUACCUACACAGAAAGCCCCGGCUAACUACGUG
rnacentral:rRNA from 1 species